rnacentral:rRNA from 1 species
CCUACGGGUGGCAGCAGUAGGGAAUAUUGCUCAAUGGGGGAAACCCUGAAGCAGCAACGCCGCGUGGAGGAUGAAGGUUUUCGGAUUGUAAACUCCUUUUGUUAGAGAAGAUAAUGACGGUAUCUAACGAAUAAGCACCGGCUAACUCAGUGCAAGCAGCCGCGGUACUCCGGAGGGUGCAAGCUUUACUCGGAAUCACUGGGCGUAAAGAGCGCGUAGGCGGGAUAGCAAGGCAGAUGUGAAAUCCUAUGGAUUAACCAUAGAACUGCAUUUGACACUGUUAUUCUAGAGUAUGGGAGAGGUAGGUGGAAUUCUGGGUGUAGGGGGAAAAGCCGGAGAGAUCAAGAGGAAUACUCAUUGCGAAGGCGACCUGCGAGAACAUAACUGACGCUGAUGCGCGAAAGCGUGGGGAGCAAACAGGAUUAGAUACCAUAGUAGGC